rfam:Cavia porcellus supercont2_5 genomic scaffold, whole genome shotgun sequence.
ACCGGGCGUGGUGGCGCAUGCCUGUAGUCCUAGCUACUUGGGAGGCUGAGGUGGGAGGAUCGCUUGAGUCCAGGAGUUCUGGGCUGCAGUGCGCUAUGCCGAUCGGGUGUCCGCACUAAGUUGCACUAAGUUCGGCAUCAAUAUGGUGACCUCCCGGGAGUGGGGGACCACCAGGUUGCCUAAGGAGGGGUGAACCCGCCCAGGUCGGAAAGGGAGCAGGUCAAAACUCCCGUGCUGAUCAGUAGUGGGAUCGCGCCUGUGAAUAGCCAAUGCACUCCAGCCUGGGCAAUAUAGUGAGACCCUGUCUCUA